rnacentral:rRNA from 1 species
ACACCUACGGGAGGCAGCAGUGGGGGAUAUUGCACAAUGGGGGGAACCCUGAUGCAGCGACGCCGCGUGGGUGAAGAAGCGCCUCGGCGCGUAAAGCCCUGUCAGCAGGGAAGAAAAUGACGGUACCUGAAGAAGAAGCCCCGGCUAACUACGUGCCAGCAGCCGCGGUAAUACGUAGGGGGCAAGCGUUAUCCGGAUUUACUGGGUGUAAAGGGGGCGCAGACGGCCAUGCACGCCAGGGGUGAACGCCC